rnacentral:rRNA from 1 species
AACGCUGGCGGCGUGCUUAACACAUGCAAGUCGAACGAUGAAGCUGGAGCUUGCUCCAGUGGAUUAGCGGCGAACGGGUGAGGAACACGUGAAGAAUCUGCCUUCAACUCUGGGAUAACACCGGGAAACCGGUGCUAAUACCGGAUAUGAGCCUUGAUCGCAUGAUCGGGGCUGGAAAGUUUUCGGUUGAAGAUGACUUCGCGGCCUAUCAGCUUGUUGGUGAGGUAAUGGCUCACCAAGGCGACGACGGGUAGCCGGCCUGAGAGGGCGACCGGCCACACUGGGACUGAGACACGGCCCAGACUCCUACGGGAGGCAGCAGUGGGGAAUAUUGGGCAAUGGACGAAAGUCUGACCCAGCGACGCCGCGUGAGGGAUGAAGGCCUUCGGGUUGUAAACCUCUUUCAGCAGGGAAGAAGCGAAAGUGACGGUACCUGCAGAAGAAGCACCGGCUAACUAUGUG